AGAGUUUGAUCAUGGCUCAGGAUGAACGCUAGCUACAGGCUUAACACAUGCAAGUCGAGGGGAAACGACAUCGAAAGCUUGCUUUUGAUGGGCGUCGACCGGCGCACGGGUGAGUAACGCGUAUCCAACCUGCCCAUCACUUGGGGAUAACCUUGCGAAAGUAAGACUAAUACCCAAUGACGUCUCUACCGAAGACAUCUGAAAGAGAUUAAAGAUUUAUCGGUGAUGGAUGGGAUGCGUCUGAUUAGCUUGUUGGCGGGGUAACGGCCCACCAAGGCGACGAUCAGUAGGGGUUCUGAGAGGAGGUCCCCCACAUUGGAACUGAGACACGGUCCAACUCCUACGGGAGGCA
rnacentral:rRNA from 1 species